CGGGGGGCUGCAGUAGGGAAUCUUGGACAAUAGGCGAAAGCCUGAUCCAGCAAUGCCGCGUGCACGAUGAAGGUCUUCGGAUUGUAAAGUGCUUUUAGAAGGGAUGAGAAAGGACAGUACCUUCUGAAUAAGCCUCGGCGAACUACGUGCCAGCAGCCGCGGUAAGACGUAGGAGGCAAGCGUUAUCCGGAUUUAUUGGGCGUAAAGCGCGUGCAGGCGGUUUGGUAAGUUGGAUGUGAAAUCUCUCGGCUUAACCGGGAGAGGUCGUUCAAAACUACCAGACUAGAGAGUGGUAGAGGAAGGUGGAAUUCCGGGUGUAGUGGUGAAAUGCGUAGAUAUCCGGAGGAACACCAGUGGCGAAAGCGGCCUUCUGGACCAUUUCUGACGCUAAGAUGCGAAAGCUAGGGGAGCAAACGGGAUUAGAUACCCCUGUAGUC
rnacentral:rRNA from 1 species